UACGUAGGGAGCAAGCGUUAUCCGGAUUUACUGGGUGUAAAGGGUGCGUAGGCGGCUUGAUAAGUCAGGGGUGAAAGCCCGCAGCUUAACUGCGGAACUGCCUUUGAUACUGUCGAGCUUGAAAGAGGUUGAGGUCAGCGGAACGUGACAUGUAGCGGUGAAAUGCAUAGAUAUGUCACAGAACACCGAUUGCGAAGGCAGCUGGCUGGACCUACUUUGACGCUGAGGCACGAAAGCGUGGGGAGCGAACAGG
rnacentral:rRNA from 1 species